rnacentral:rRNA from 1 species
UAGGGAAUCUUCCGCAAUGGGCGAAAGCCUGACGGAGCAACGCCGCGUGAGUGAUGAAGGUCUUCGGAUCGUAAAACUCUGUUAUUAGGGAAGAACAAAUGUGUAAGUAACUAUGCACGUCUUGACGGUACCUAAUCAGAAAGCCACGGCUAACUACGUGCCAGCAGCCGCGGUAAUACGUAGGUGGCAAGCGUUAUCCGGAAUUAUUGGGCGUAAAGCGCGCGUAGGCGGUUUUUUAAGUCUGAUGUGAAAGCCCACGGCUCAACCGUGGAGGGUCAUUGGAAACUGGAAAACUUGAGUGCAGAAGAGGAAAGUGGAAUUCCAUGUGUAGCGGUGAAAUGCGCAGAGAUAUGGAGGAACACCAGUGGCGAAGGCGCCUUUCUGGUCUGUAACUGACGCUGAUGUGCGAAAGCGUGGGGAUCAAACAGG